GACGAACGCUGGCGGCGUGCUUAACACAUGCAAGUCGAGCGAUGAAGUUUUUUCGGAAAUGGAUUAGCGGCGAACGGGUGAGGAACACGUGAAGAAUCUGCCCUCCACUUUGGGAUAACACAGGGAAACCUGUGCUAAUACCGAAUAUUGAAACAUAAGUGGCAUCACUGAGUUUUGAAAGAAUUUCGGUGGAGGAUGACUUCGCGGCCUAUCAGCUAGUUGGUGAGGUAAUGGCUCACCAAGGCAACGACGGGUAGCCGGCCUGAGAGGGCGACCGGCCACACUGGGACUGAGACACGGCCCAGACUCCUACGGGAGGCAGCAGUGGGGAAUAUUGGGCAAUGGAGGAAACUCUGACCCAGCGACGCCGCGUGCGGGAUGAAGGCCUUCGGGUUGUAAACCGCUUUCAGUAGGGAAGAAGCGAAAGUGACGGUACCUACAAAAGAAGCACCGGCUAACUAUGUGCCAGCCGCCGCGGUAA
rnacentral:rRNA from 1 species